rnacentral:rRNA from 1 species
CGAAAGCCUGACGGAGCAACGCCGCGUGAGGGAUGGAGGCCUUUGGGCUGUAAACCUCUUUUCUCAAGGAAGAAGAUCUGACGGUACUUGAGGAAUAAGCCACGGCUAAUUCCGUGCCAGCAGCCGCGGUAAUACGGGAGUGGCGAGCGUUAUCCGGAAUUAUUGGGCGUAAAGCGUCCGCAGGCGGCCGUUUAAGUCUGUUGUUAAAUCGUGGAGCUCAACUCCAUCACGGCAAUGGAAACUGUUCGGCUUGAGCAUGGUAGGGGCAGAGGGAAUUUCCGGUGUAGCGGUGAAAUGCGUAGAUAUCGGGAAGAACACCAGUGGCGAAAGCGCUCUGCUGGGCCAUUACUGACGCUCAUGGACGAAAGCCAGGGGAGCGAAAGGGAUUAGAUACCCCUGUAGUCCUGGCCGUAAACGAUGAACACUAGAUGUUGGGGGAAUCGACCCCCUCGGUGUCGUAGCUAACGCGUUAAGUGUUCCGCCUGGGGAGUACGCACGCAAGUGUGAAACUCAAAGGAAUUGACGGGGGCCCGCACAAGCGGUGGAGUAUGUGGUUUAAUUCGAUGCAACGCGAAGAACCUUACCAAGGCUUGACAUCCUGCGAAUCUCUAAGAAAUUAGAGAGUGCCUUCGGGAACGCAGUGACAGGUGGUGCAUGGCUGUCGUCAGCUCGUGUCGUGAGAUGUUGGGUUAAGUCCCGCAACGAGCGCAACCCACGUUUUUAGUUGCCAGCAUUCAGUUGGGCACUCUAGAAAGACUGCCGGUGACAAACCGGAGGAAGGUGUGGACGACGUCAAGUCAUCAUGCCCCUUACGCCUUGGGCUACACACGUACUACAAUGCUGCGGACAAAGAGUAGCGAUCUUGCGAAAGUUAGCUAAUCUCAUAAACCGUGGCUCAGUUCAGAUCGUAGGCUGCAACUCGCCUACGUGAAGGAGGAAUCGCUAGUAAUCGCAGGUCAGCAUACUGCGGUGAAUACGUUCCCGGGCCUUGUACACACCGCCCGUCACACCAUGGAAGUUGGCCAUGCCCGAAGUCGUUACUCUAACCUUUUGGAAGAGGGCGCCGAAGGCAGGGCUAAUGACUGGGGUGAAGUCGUAACAAGGUAGCCGUAGCGGAAGCUGCGGCUGGAUCACCUCCUAA